GAAAUUUCCGUUCCAGUGGAGGCAAUUUUCUGAAUAUUUUAACAUUUUAAAUGAAUGCUUUAUUGUAUGAAGAAAGUAUUUUACGAAUGCAGAACUGACUUUUUAUUGUCUUAAAAAAGAAACAGUAUGUUUCCUGGAUAGCCCAAUCCUUGCAUGAUGUUGGGAACGUGGAUAAAUCGGAGAGCUAUAAGUAUAAUAGUGUUCGGACUGAUAUUUCGGAUACGGUUUGACAUCUACAAAAGUCAACAUUAUAAUGCAAUGCAAUCAAUUUAUAAUAAGAGAAUAUGGAAGAAAAUUGAAGAUUUAUAUUCAAUACACUCUUGAUGAGGUUUCAAAAAUGUUAAAAAAAAACCUCCAUUUUACAAAUAUACACUCGAGAAAAAGAUGUACAAAUCAUUCACCUGCCGACCUGGAUUCAGGACUUAAUUUGCUAAAAACUUUUGCAUACUCAAGAUAUUGAAGAUUGGUUUGGAAACCCUACAGAAGGAAUAAACAACAAAACAGAAUUUUUAUUGGCCAGUGACUAAGUAAAUGAAAUGUCAUACUCAUUAUAAAUGUGAAAUCAAUGACUUUUGUUGACAAUUUGAAAAAAAAAUUACAAUAUACUAACAUAUGGUAUUGAUAUCCUUGCAAUAUUGAAAAAGUGUGAUUGCAAUUACUGACAAAAGUGAUCUAUUGAAGAUCUUGAAAAGUGUAAAAACUACAAUGUAGGUGACAACAAUAACUAAGUAAUAAUCUUUGGAAGUGUGAUUACUUAUUACAUCAGUGAUAAUCUUGGAAGACUCUUUAUGAUGUUUUUAUGACUUAUUGUACAUGAACUCAUUCUUCAUGAAAUAAACUUUCAUCCUGAAUUCAAUAUUUUUUGUAAAAUAAAGUUAUAAACUCUCA